rnacentral:lncRNA from 1 species
UUCUGGUUGGUAGGGCGACAGAGGGCUGCCGGGGCCCGUCGGGCGUCCUGGACUGAAAGGUGAAGGCUUCUCCGGGCCUCCAGUGAGUACACAAAAACACAGAAUCCUCCUUCAUCCCAGCUUGACUACAUCACUUUAAAAGAGUAAAACUCGCCUCAGGGACUUCCUGGGCCCCCAGGCCUGCCUGGAGAGACCGGACAAGAUGGUUUCGGAUUACCUGGACAGAAAGGAGAUCGAGGAAAUCCUGGACCUUUGGGACCUGCCGGGCCUCCUGGGAUCGGGUUGAUUGGAUCAAAGGGUGCGAUGGGUCAGAUGGGACCUGCAGGUCCUCCAGGGUUACCGGGAGAGGGUAUCCAGGGGCAGAAGGUA